AGAAUAGAAAGAGAAAAUUAUGUCUACAUUUUGGUUGUGAUAGAUUAAUAUCUAUGUGAUGAUGUUUUAUUGUUUUUAGGCAUGUAUUCGAUACAAAAAUGAAUAGACAAAGAAUACUAUUAAUAUCGUAUUAAUACCCAUCGUGGCUCGUGUUCUUUAAUCUGGAAAGGUAAACUACUGGUCUUCAUAAUCGACUGCAAGAGAAGAAAAGCUUAAUUACCUGAAAAAUAUAUCAGAGUGAAGGCACUUAUUCCAGGUUUUGCAUAUUCUAUCAUUGCAGCCUUAGUUCCAUGGUUCCACCCAACCUGGCGACAUUUGCACCACUCGCAGGUACACAAACUUCUCUCUUCUUUCAUGAUAUCGAAUGUUGGAUUAGUCCUGAUCCUGCUGAAUCAUAUUUUUCAUUGGAAAAUUUGGGCAUGAGAAAGAAAAAAAUAUUUGCACCGGCUCUGGCGUGUGCCACAUGUUUGACAGGCAUAUGCCAUGGGAUUCGAUGAAGAAGAGGAGCAGGUGUUGUUCACGGUCGUCGCUGAAGCGCAUAGGUCCUAGCAGCUGAAUCUGAGAAGCAUUUGGCAUGUACCAAGGUAUCAAGACCUCCUCUUUCUUGCUUCUGAUGUUGUCCCUCCAAUCCUUUGUUUUACUCGGGACAUGAUGUUCCCAACUCAGGCUCACUUGGAAGUUCUUAUCUGCCCUAUAGAGUAUAGACUGGUUAUGUACGAAAGAGACUCUGGAAGGGGUGAUUUAGUUUUUGCUGAUUUUGAAAACUAACACUAUUGUUGAGUUCCUAAAGUCAUUUGGCAGGGAUUCUAUUUUGGGAUCAAUUGAAUCCAAGGUGCACAAGCUAGAUAAAAUCCGUAAACAGAGAUUUUUUUUGCACUUUAUCACCAUGAAAAUGGAGUGGAGGCAACGUGGGAAUUUAUCUGAUGGCUCUGCUUCCACUCCGACAGUUUCCUCUGCCCGCUGUGAUGGACUUUCCUCUACUUCGACAAUGUCGUUUGCUCUAGCAGCAACAUGGCGGGAGACAUCAUCCUCUAGCAAUGCCAACUAGCUGCAGGCCCCUCUCUGCCGUCGGAUUCUUCCAGGCACCAUGCUUGCAUUUAGUUACGCAUUCUCCUCAUGAAUAUACCUUGUUGGCAGGUCACUUGACUGCUAGAAGUGACGUCUACACCUUUGGUGUGCUCCUUCUUGAGGCGAAAAUCCAUC